CACCGCGGUUAAACAAUAGGCCCAAGUCGACAGCUUUCGGCACAAAGCGUGGUUAAUAACACUAAAACUAAAGUAGAACCCCUUCAUGAUUGUUAUACAUAUACCGAAAGGGUGAACCCCAACAACGAAAGUGACUUUAAUACUAUGAGCCCACGAAAGCUACGAAA
rnacentral:rRNA from 1 species